AACGAACGCUGGCGGCAUGCCUAACACAUGCAAGUCGAACGAGACCUUCGGGUCUAGUGGCGCACGGGUGCGUAACGCGUGGGAAUCUGCCCUCUGGUUCGGAACAACAGUUGGAAACGACUGCUAAUACCGGAUAAUGACUUCGGUCCAAAGAUUUAUCGCCAGAGGAUGAGCCCGCGUAGGAUUAGCUUGUUGGUGAGGUAAAAGCUCACCAAGGCGACGAUCCUUAGCUGGUCUGAGAGGAUGAUCAGCCACACUGGGACUGAGACACGGCCCAGACUCCUACGGGAGGCAGCAGUGGGGAAUAUUGGACAAUGGGCGAAAGCCUGAUCCAGCAAUGCCGCGUGAGUGAUGAAGGCCUUAGGGUUGUAAAGCUCUUUUACCCGGGAUGAUAAUGACAGUACCGGGAGAAUAAGCCCCGGCUAACUCCGUGCCAGCCGCCGCUAUAAAAC
rnacentral:rRNA from 1 species